rnacentral:rRNA from 2 species
CGGCGAGUGAGCGGCAACAGCUCAAAUUUGAAAUCUGGGGCCUUUCGGCUUCCGAGUUGUAAUUUGCAGAGGGCGCCUCGGAGGGCGAGCCGGUCCAAGUGCCUUGGAACAGGAUACCGCAGAGGGUGAGAGUCCCGUAUCCGGCCGGCGUCGUGCUCUGUGUGAGGCCCCUUCGACGAGUCGAGUUGUUUGGGAAUGCAGCUCCAAGCGGGUGGUAAAUUCCAUCUAAAGCUAAAUACUGGCCAGAGACCGAUAGCGAACAAGUAGAGUGAUCGAAAGAUGAAAAGCACUUUGAAAAGAGAGUCAAACAGUACGUGAAAUUGUUGAAAGGGAAGCGCAUGGGGGCAGACUUGGUCGCGGGGUUCAGGGAGUCAUUGUGGCGCCUGUAGUUCCCCGCGGACAGGCCAGCAUCGGUUUCGUGGGCCGGACAAAGGCGCAGGGAAAGUGGCAGCCUUCGGGGUGUGUUAUAGCCCGGCGCGCAAUGCGGCCACGUGGGACCGAGGACCGCGCUCGGCAAGGAUGCUGGCGUAAUGGCCUCAUGCGGCCCGUCUUG